rnacentral:rRNA from 1 species
AUUGAACGCUGGCGGCAUGCUUUACACAUGCAAGUCGAACGGCAGCGCGGGCUUCGGCCUGGCGGCGAGUGGCGAACGGGUGAGUAAUACAUCGGAACGUGCCCAGUAGUGGGGGAUAGCUCGGCGAAAGCCGGAUUAAUACCGCAUACGACCUGAGGGUGAAAGCGGGGGAUCUUCGGACCUCGCGCUAUUGGAGCGGCCGAGGGCAGAUUAGCUAGUUGGUGGGGUAAAGGCCUACCAAGGCGACGAUCUGUAGCUGGUCUGAGAGGACGACCAGCCACACUGGAACUGAGACACGGCCCAGACUCCUACGGGAGGCAGCAGUGGGGAAUUUUGGACAAUGGGCGAAAGCCUGAUCCAGCAAUGCCGCGUGUGUGAUGAAGGCCUUCGGGUUGUAAAGCACUUUUGGCGGGAACGAAAAGGACUGUGCCAAUACCACGGUUCGAUGACGGUACCCGCAGAAUAAGCACCGGCUAACUACGUG